UUCACUCUCAAUAGCGAUUACCCCAAAAUCUCAAAGACCUCUCUUUCUGUUCAUCAACCUAGAACCCACCGACGAACUCUGUCGAUCAGCUCCGGUGAAGGACGACCAUUAUCGGCUAACAUUUCGGGACCAAUCCAUCCGAAAGAUAUGUCCAGACUAUAUCUGUCCAUAACCUGAAUUACCGGAAAGCACAGGACAUCUGGUUGAUAACAGAUAGUGGUUGCAGUUUUUGCUGAAAGUAUGAUGUGUGUGUAUUCCUGCAAAAAUCGACUGCUGAGAGUAUGAUGUGUGUGUGUUUAUGCCUGGGUUGUGAAAAGCGAGAAGCAAAUUCUGCUAUAUGAAGUGACUCAGAUAGACAAAAGUGUGCGCUUCCCACUAAAAAGGCAGAAGCGGCGAAGAGAAGCGAGUAAAGCUGCCAGCCUAUUUAAUUAAAAAAGAAGGGAUCAGUGUACUUCUAUUAAAACACGACCAGUAACAACAACGACUAGGGUUCCCUUUUCAACUUCAACAGAGAUUCAGCGGCAACAGAUCCAGGUACUUCUACUUAGGUCUACCAUCCUUGAUGGAGGCGACUACUUAGAGACUUCGAGGUACAUCUGCCGCAUUCGCAGACCGAGGAGUCCCUUUCUAUUCCUGCCUUUUAGUAUUUAGC